UGAAAACCAGAAUACGAUUAUCAAAUAGCUCAAUCAUACACUGUAACAAAGAGCAACAAUAUUGAUAAAUAAAGUCAAAUACAACUAUAUUAUUAACCAUACACCGUAUGAAAAAAUAUCAAAAACAGAAUCAUGAAGUCAUCACUGCCGCAAAGUCAUCAGAAAAUACAUUGUAUCAAAAAUAGAAUUUUGCAUGUUCGAAGUCAACGAGUCAUGAAGAGAACCCACAGAUACCGGAAUCUAGAAUUACAAACAAUGAAAAAUACAUUAUAUACAAGCUGUAUUCACUUGUAUAAUAGGAUCUAAGUUGUAUCCAAAAUGGAAAAUUUUCAUGUCCGAAGAUGACUCAGAUCUAUGAAAAUAAUAGAAUCUCAAAUGGAGAAGACGACUCAGAUCGCUACGAGGAAUUCCAAAGCAAUAUGUAGAAUCUGCUUGAAUAUAAAUUGAUUUUCUAUGCCGAAUCAUUUGGCAGCGCUUUAUGAGAGUAAUUGCUGAAAAAUAACUGAAAUAGUUAGCCGGGUAGUUCAAUGGUGAUUGUAUCACCGAAUAUUCCAUUUUCGAUUGCAUCUUCAUCGGAGGCAGCAGAAUCGGUCCAUCCGAUGUCCCAUUAACUUUAGAAGAGAAACUGGCGAAUUUAUAUGGAUCAGAGACAUGGAUCGGUUAUUUAAAGGAAAUAAAAAUAGGGGAAUCGCCAUUGGCUGCAGUAGUGACGUUAUUGACGGACUGAGAAGUUGGAGAAGGAGUAAAAUCUCUGGGAAGAGAGAUGAGGGUCGUAUCCAAGAUAGGGUUAAAAUAUCCCAUAGCGAGGGCAUUUGCUAUAAAGUAUAGCUAGAAAUUAUAAUUAUUUUAAAUUAUAUUUAUUUAUAAUAAAUAUAGUGUAUACGGUAUAUAGUGUAUACGGUAAGACAAGAGGGGUUGCUCUGAGGUUGUGAGUUCGAGUCUCCCCAAGAGCAAGGUGGAAAGUUCUUGAAUGGAAGGAUGCCGGAUAUCUAUUUGGAAACAACCUCUCACCCAAGGAUAGGGAUAAGGUCUGCGUACAUACUACC
rnacentral:lncRNA from 1 species